CUGUGACCACAGCCCCUCCACUGCCACACACCCCAACACAUAGAGACACAGCAUCAUGAAGGCAGAGGCUGCCUCGGGACGGCUCUGCCCCAGGGAGCGUGGGGCCAUCUGAGCCAAACAGAAUAGAGGGCUUGGACACAGCCCCGGAUGUGAGUUGAGCUCUGAAUGUCAAGACCAGUCCUGGACCUAUGACCACCCAGCUGGGAGGGAGCUGACAGAUAAGGAAACUGAGGCCCAGAGUGGUGCUGGAGGUCUCUGAGCCAGGAAGUGGCCCGUCGGGACUGGAAUGCAGGGCCCUGAGCCUGACAGCACUCUCCGGGAAGGGGCUAGAGCCCCGAGGGAUGAGCGAAAUGAUCAUGAUCAUCUUUGUCCCAUGCUUGCAAGUUCUAGAACUGCUACAAAGGAGCAGCCACGAGUGUCCCCCGCUCCCAGACCACUCCAAGCUGCUUCUAGAGGGACUGGACAUCCUGGAGCAGAAACAGGUGAGGAAACUGAAGCUCUGAGAGCAGUAGCUCCCCUGAGCCGUGCAGCUGGAGAGGGCUGCGCCAACAGCAGAGCUGGGGCUCUUUGCAGUCCCAUUUUCCACUGCUUUGGUCAGGGAGUGAGUCCCCUGAUGUCAUCCGAGGAUAUGAGGCAUCGCUAAAUCUGGCCAUCCCCUGAAGCACCCAGCCUCACCGACUUCCUGAAGCGUGGAUGAACGCUGCUGCCACAAAUGUGCUGUGACAACCGCUGACAAGGAGAAUGGUUCCAAGAAGUGACAAGUUGAAGGUCAUGAUCCUUUUGCUGACACAGAGCCUGGCACAUGGAGGCACCAAAUGCAUGUUAGUCUAGGCACUGUGGAGGAGCUCAGAUUGUGUUUGUUGAUUGACUGAGUGAGCAAAUGAAGAACGACUAAACCAAGCACAAAGCUGGGCGUCCUAAGGUGGAGCUGGGCUAAGGAAAGUGACUGUCUCUAGGGCCUUCACAAUUGAGGCAGGACCUUAUCCACCAUUUGACCAGGGUGAGGAACUGUGCAGGGCACCCAGGUGUGACCCAACCAUGUCCAUUGUUCCUCUCUGUCCCUUUGAUGGACAGCCUGUACCCACGACACUCUUUCCAGAUGCUGCCUGCAUCCUAGUUCCCUGUCCUAUCACCUCUGCAUGGAAAGAUGUGGAGUUGGCCACAUUGAUCCCAACACCAAUGGGAUCACCUGAGGAUGGAUCUGGUGACUGACCUUGUGCCUUCUCACAGUACAGGCUUUGGGAUCCACAGCAACCCAGGCAGAGUUUGUAACAGUGCAGGUUCCCAGGCCCCAUCCCAGACUGCCUGAGUCACUCUGGGCCUGAACCCAGGAAGAGUUAACCAUCUGGAGACUGUAGAUUGUAACAAUUUCCUUGGGUGACUUCCAGGCAGGCUAAAGUGUAAGAAAGGGUGCCAUGAAUCAGCAAAACAGCCAGCACUUCAACUUGCAACCUGAGCAUCCCACAGGGGUCCCAGCCAUCGUAGUGCCAGCUACAUUUGCUGAAGUGUGAGGCCUGGACUGCAGGCAGGCUCCAGGCCAACCCUUCCUUGCAUGACUUGCUCAGGGAUCUGUAUGACAUGCUGGUGCCAUUCUCUCCAUUUUACAGAUGAGGGACCAGAGGCCCAGAGCACUGAAGUACCUAGCUAAAAAGCUGGAACACCAUAUUACCCUGCCUCCCUGACAGCUUUCCUCCAUCCAAGUGGCCCAACUGUGGUUCAGAAAAUACAGCCUCAUUAAAGACAGGUGCUUGAAACCAUGGCCUGGAAGUGGUAAUCUGGUUGAGCUCACUUUGCUGGAUGGUGAAAGAGCCCAGCCUGCCCUGCCCUGCCCUUCCUUCUUUUUCCCUCUCCUCUCUUCUCCUCUCCUCUCCUCUCCUCUCCUCUCCUCUCC
rnacentral:lncRNA from 1 species